GCCAGGCGUGGUGGUGCAUGCCUGUAGUCUCAGCUACUCGGGAGGCUGAGGCAGAAGAAUUGCUUGAACCCGGGAGACAGAGGUUGCAGUGAGCCGAGAUCACGCCACUGCACUCUAGCCUGGGCAACAGAGCAAGACUCUGUCUCAA
rnacentral:sRNA from 1 species